rnacentral:rRNA from 1 species
AAAACUCUGUUUACAGUGACGUCCGAGUACAAUACAAAUAGUAAAAACUUUCAACAACGGAUCUCUUGGUUCCAGCAUCGAUGAAGAACGCAGCGAAAUGCGAUAAGUAAUGUGAAUUGCAGAAUUCAGUGAAUCAUCGAAUCUUUGAACGCACAUUGCGCCCCUCGGUAUUCCGGGGGGCAUGCCUGUUCGAGCGUCAUUAC